UGUUUUUCUCUCAUGCAGAAUGCACCAACUCUUCUUGCCAAGUGAUCUGGAAACAAUUGUGAUUCCUUAUGGCUGCGCAUGCUGGUGAACUGGUGAUAGGUACCUACUGAAAUACGAGUAGUUAAUUCCAGGAUUUGCUUAAUUUCGUUGCCGUUUCCCAUUACAAAUUCGAUUUUUCUUAUCAACAAACUUGAUAGUGUAGCUGUUCUUCUCAUGUCAGCAUGGAUUGGAACAAAUUCACACCUGUGUACCACAACCACAAAACUGAGACCAAAUACAGAGCCUCACUCAGUCAGUCAACGACCGGUGCUGCCUCUGACAGUGAGUCUUCCUUGCUAAACGUGGCACUCGAUGACAUUGGUUCCCUGUACCAUUCAUUCUCCUCGCGAGUGAGAAAGCGAGCCUCUGCACCAAAAACACGAAGGAUUCGAAAUUAGCGCAAUAUAGGUUCCAGAUUGUUUGUUUAACACUCCUUUUGUCUAAUCGGAUAUGAGCAAUCCAGUUUUGUCAUGUGUUCAGCAAUUCAGGUAAGCGUUUUGACCGAGUAUAGAUGAGAAACAUAAACUCUGUGAAAUGCAACAGCCAGCAUACCUGACACAAAAACGUCCUUGUAGUCUUCAUCGUCAUACACAAACGCAGGUGGGUCUGGGGAACCAAUUCCGACAAUCGUGCUUCCACUGCAUGAAGCAUUCACAAUGUUGUCCGAAUUAAAUACGGUGACUGCAAAUGCAGUUCCUAAUUCAAUGCACAUAUGAGUGUUGGACAAUCAUAGGGAGGUAAUAUCCGCCCUUGUAGCAUGGAAUCCCACACGUUAACUAAGACAUUUUUGCUACUGAAACUUGAAAGAAUAAGACUACACAGCUAAAAUUGCAUAACUGGGGCUGCCAAAAAGACUCAUCUAAUGGGCUCAAGACCAGGGCAAAGCAUAAUGUUCUGACGGAAGUCAAAUAUAAACUGAGACAAGAGACACAGGAUAAUACAAUAGUAUGAUACUCCUCUAAUAGAGUAGUUUUUUUUUUCGAAACCUCUAAUGGAGUAGUGAUUUAACGCUAGAAUAAGACUACUUUGGAAUAACCAGGUUCUUCAUAGUUUGGUAAGAGAAUGUGCCCUCUUACCUUCCUGACAUAAAAACAGCACUGUAAUCUCCCCUAUUGGAUGCAAUAAAUCGUUUCUUCAACUUCUUUAGUGACUGCAACACCUCAAAAGCUGGAGGCUCUGGAAAAAGAAAAUGAGGAACAUGAACCAUUUUUACUGAAUGUUAUUCAGCAACAAACAGAAUAAAAUAGUUUAACAUAUACUAGUAUAAUGAUAGUCUAUAACAACAUACUGUAAUCACACACUCCAUACCUAGAUCAUUUACACAGACAUCUUGUGAUAUCCCAUUUUGCGUAAUUUCCUUGAGCAAAGCCAAAGGAUCAGCUUGACUAGUCUGAUCUAACCGGAGUCGCUGCAGUAUACGAAGCUUGUUAGGAAAAGCAUGCACUUUCAGUUAAGAAAUUGAAAUACCUAUUACCUUGUAAACUUCAGCGGUUGAGCAUGCUUCAGGUGGCUUUAUUAGAACCAUUGGCAGAUUCUCUGGCAACAGGUUUGGAAUAUCUUGGACAAUCUGCAUAUAUUUAACUUCAAAGUUGUAGAUUAUAAUCAGCCACUUCAGCAGCAAGGUAAACAGAGAUCAUGGAUACAUUUCCAUGUCAGUGUCUAGUUUAUAGUAAUGAAAAACAUCUUGGAAUCUGAAGGGAACCUCUCUACAAAAGUCAAUAUUUACUUGAAUACAGUCGAGCAACGCAACUCCUAUAAACAAAAAUCAGUGAUGUAUUAUGACCCAAUUUCAAUAGCUUGCAAUAGUGUAUCAGCCAAACCAAUCAUCUAAGCAACUGUCAAUAAGUUGAAACAGGGUUCAGGUGAAAUACUUCACCCUUUCUGUUCCAGGAUAUCAUAGAUGUACUUGUAAGAAACCGAAUGAUGGAUCUACUCCAAUCAUAUUACUGUGGCCUGGCUUCUCUUAUAGAGCUUUUUUCUAACACAAGACUUCACAUAUAAGAAACUGAAAAAGGUACUGAAGUUCUUUUGGAAGACCCAGAUUGUACUAUCAGGAUUGAAACAAAGAGUUUCAUGCCAGUAUCACAGAAAAUCAUCACUCAGUUUGCAGCAACUCCAGGAAAAGUUUUGCUGGAUUCCAUCCUGGGGGAAGCUAAGCUUUGGAUGUUGGCAGAUGUGAAGGCGCUCCAGCGUCUAACACUCCAUGCCCUGUCUCCCUACGCUCUACCGUAGGGUAGUGCAGGCUAGCUCCCUGUAUAGUCUUUUUCUUUUUGCUGCCAUUAAUUGUUUUCGUUCAUUAGUAGGCUGCUUUGUAUCAAUUUCAGUUUUUAUUUUCCCUCCUACUUCGUAUCAUCAUGAUUCCUUCUUAUGAUAUACAAUGACACACAUUUUGGUCUCUGUUUAAGGGGGGGAAAGACUGCACAUGCCUUAAUGGAGUAGGGACUGUCCACUGGGAAGGACUACAAUUAGAAGCCUAGUAUUACCAUGAUUCAAAGAAAAUAAUAGUAGAACGGAGAGUGCUUCACAUAC
rnacentral:lncRNA from 1 species